GACGAACGCUGGCGGCGUGCUUAACACAUGCAAGUCGAACGGAAAGGCCCUGCUUUUGUGGGGUGCUCGAGUGGCGAACGGGUGAGUAACACGUGAGUAACCUGCCCUUGACUUUGGGAUAACUUCAGGAAACUGGGGCUAAUACCGGAUAGGAGCUCCUGCUGCAUGGUGGGGGUUGGAAAGUUUCGGCGGUUGGGGAUGGACUCGCGGCUUAUCAGCUUGUUGGUGGGGUAGUGGCUUACCAAGGCUUUGACGGGUAGCCGGCCUGAGAGGGUGACCGGCCAAAUUGGGACUGGGGUACGGCCCAGACUCCCACGGGAGGGAGGAGUGGGGAAUAUUGGAAAAUGGGCGGAAGGCUGGAGGAGCAACGCCGCGGGCGGGAAGACGGCCUUCGGGGUGUAAACCGCUUUCGCCUGUGACGAAGCGUGAGUGACGGUAAUGGGUAAAGAAGCACCGGCUAACUACGU
rnacentral:rRNA from 1 species